rnacentral:rRNA from 1 species
GAUCAUGGCUCAGGAUGAACGCUAGCUACAGGCUUAACACAUGCAAGUCGAGGGGCAGCAUGAACUUAGCUUGCUAAGUUUGAUGGCGACCGGCGCACGGGUGAGUAACACGUAUCCAACCUUCCCGUUACUCUGGAAUAGCCUUUCGAAAGAAAGAUUAAUACCGGAUAGUAUCGAGAGAUUGCAUGAUUACCCGAUUGAAGAUUCAUCGGUAACGGAUGGGGACGCGUUCCAUUAGG